rnacentral:rRNA from 1 species
CUGGCUCAGGAUGAACGCUGGCGGCGUGCUUAACACAUGC